AAUUGUAGCUAAUAGGCUGCGAUCAAUGGUGGUUGCUGAGGUGCCUAAGCUUGCUUCAGCAGCUGAGUACUUCUUUAAAAUGGGAGUUGAAGGGAAGAGGUUUCGACCCACUGUUAUUUUAUUAAUGGCAACAGCUUUAAAUGUUCAAAUUUCUAAACCAACAUCAGAAGGGGUUAUGGAUAUGUUCUCAACAGCGUUGAGGUUGAGACAACAAUCGAUUGCUGAAAUCACAGAGAUGAUUCAUGUU